ACUCAAAUGAAUUGACGGGGACCCGCACAAGCGGUGGAUUAUGUGGAUUAAUUCGAUGCAACGCGAAAAACCUUACCUACCCUUGACAUGCUAGGAAGCUUGCAGAGAUGCAAGUGUGCCCGAAAGGGAACCUAGACACAGGUGCUGCAUGGCUGUCGUCAGCUCGUGUCGUGAGAUGUUGGGUUAAGUCCCGCAACGAGCGCAACCCUUGUCAUUAGUUGCUACAUUCAGUUGGGCACUCUAAUGAGACUGCCGGUGACAAACCGGAGGAAGGUGGGGAUGACGUCAAGUCCUCAUGGCCCUUAUGGGUAGGGCUUCACACGUAAUACAAUGGCCGGUACAGAGGGUUGCCAACCCGCGAGGGGGAGCCAAUCCCAGAAAGCCGGUCGUAGUCCGGAUUGUUCUCUGCAACUCGAGAGCAUGAAGUUGGAAUCGCUAGUAAUCGCGGAUCAGCAUGUCGCGGUGAAUACGUUCCCGGGUCUUGCACACACCGCCCGU
rnacentral:rRNA from 1 species